UACGGAGGGUGCAAGCGUUAUCCGGAUUUACUGGGUUUAAAGGGUGCGUAGGCGGGCCAUUAAGUCAGUGGUGAAAUCUCCGAGCUUAACUCGGAAACUGCCAUUGAUAUUAUUGGUCUUGAAUUCGGUCGAGGUUGGCGGAAUGUGUCGUGUAGCGGUGAAAUGCUUAGAUAUGAUACAGAACACCGAUUGCGAAGGCAGCUAGCUAGACCGACAUUGACGCUGAGGCACGAAAGCGUGGGGAGCAAACAGG
rnacentral:rRNA from 1 species